rnacentral:misc_RNA from 1 species
AAGUCGUAACAAGGUUUCCGUAGGUGAACCUGCGGUUGGAUCAUUAACAAAUUGAUCAGGGCAAAAGGCAUCAUGGCCUUGCCCGCGUUUCUCUCGCGAAAGCGAGUCCGAAACACACACCCAAUUGUGAACCGUUUUCUGUCUCUGGCGGUGGGGUUCGGCGAGGAAAGUUCUUUUUGACUUUGUUCUCGAACCUGUCAGCAACGAUCGCACGAGCCUUUUUUUGAAAGGCCCACCGUGAGCGCCUGCCGUGGACAAGCCGCCAACCGUUUCUUCAAUAACGCAUUGUCUGAUUAAGUUUGUCUUACCUGUUUUCUUUGUAUGAAUGUACAAAAAACAACUUUUGGCAACGGAUCUCUUGGCUCUC